GACGAACGCUGGCGGCGUGCCUAAUACAUGCAAGUUGAGCGAUGAAGAUUGGUGCUUGCACCAAUUUGAAGAGCAGCGAACGGGUGAGUAACGCGUGGGGAAUCUGCCUUUGAGCGGGGGACAACAUUUGGAAACGAAUGCUAAUACCGCAUAACAACUUUAAACAUAAGUUUUAAGUUUGAAAGAUGCAAUUGCAUCACUCAAAGAUGAUCCCGCGUUGUAUUAGCUAGUUGGUGAGGUAAAGGCUCACCAAGGCGAUGAUACAUAGCCGACCUGAGAGGGUGAUCGGCCACAUUGGGACUGAGACACGGCCCAAACUCCUACGGGAGGCAGCAGUAGGGAAUCUUCGGCAAUGGACGAAAGUCUGACCGAGCAACGCCGCGUGAGUGAAGAAGGGUUUCGGAUCGUAAAACUCUGUUGGUAGAGAAGAGCGUUGGUGAGAGUGGAAAGCUCAUCAAGUGACGGUAACUACCCAGAAAGGGACGGCUAACUACGUG
rnacentral:rRNA from 1 species